AUUGAACGCUGGCGGCAGGCUUAACACAUGCAAGUCGAACGAGUGGCGGACGGGUGUGUAAUGCCUUGGCAUCUAGCUUAUGGAGGGGGAUAACUACGGUAAACUGUAGCUAGUACCGCGUCACACAGGAUGAGCCCAAGUGGGUUGAGGUAGCUGUUGAGGUAAAGGCUCACAAAGCCGACGAUCUCUAGCUGGUCUGAAAGGAUGACCAGCCACACUGGGACUGAGACACGGACCAGACUCCUACGGGAGGCAGCAGUGGGGAAUAUUGCGCAAUGGGGGCAACCUGACGCAGCCAUGCCGCGUGAAUGAAGAAGGCCUUCGGGUUGUAAAGUUCUUUCGGUAGAGAGGCGUUAACUACAGAAGAAGGACCGGCUAACUCCGUGCCAGCAGCCGCGGUAAUAC
rnacentral:rRNA from 1 species